CAUGGAUUGAUGGCAAGCCGGUUGGACAACACCCUAUUGCUAUCCGACUAAUGAAGGGGCAUUGCUAAUGCCUUCUAAGCCGUAAUAUUCAUCAUGCAACCUGGGAUGUGUCCAGGGUAACUUUACAUUUAUCUUCACUGGGGGAUAAUGAUACGUUAUGCCUCAAAUUGCUAACUAAGAAAACAACAAACAAAAAAAACACUUCUGAUGUGUUAGCAUUGAUAUCACCAGAGAGGUCCUCUGUUCUCUCGGACCUUGAUAUCUAGUUCGUGAAAGAAUAGCCUGAUGGUUUCACAUUCACACUAACUAAACCAUGAUCUCUCACAACGAUAGCAUUCCCAUGUGUUAUGGAAGACAGCACCUAAUGUCCCUCAUUAAAAUGCUUGGAAUCAUAUUGAAAUGCUACAAGUGAGUUUCGGACUCCACCUGAAUGUAAAAAGUUGUUUUUCUCGACUUUACCUUUACAUCGCACUGUCUCCCUGUCUCCCAAAUACAAUUUUCA